UACGGAGGGGGCUAGCGUUGUUCGGAAUUACUGGGCGUAAAGCGCACGUAGGCGGCUUUGUAAGUUAGAGGUGAAAGCCCAGGGCUCAACCCUGGAAUUGCCUUUAAGACUGCAUCGCUUGAACAUCGGAGAGGUAAGUGGAAUUCCGAGUGUAGAGGUGAAAUUCGUAGAUAUUCGGAAGAACACCAGUGGCGAAGGCGACUUACUGGACGAUUGUUGACGCUGAGGUGCGAAAGCGUGGGGGGCAAACAGG
rnacentral:rRNA from 1 species